GGAUUUUCCAAAACGGUUGGCGAUUUCUAACAGUAACAGGAGCGUUCACUUCAGAGCGACGUCUGCGUGGGAUAGGAGGAUUUGGACCAAGAUCUAAUGAAGUGAUCCAAUAACACUGCCAGCAAAUGGAAGAGUAAUCUACUCUAUCAUUUGGAACAUUUCCUCCAGAAGCAGAGCUAAUCCCUUCGCACUUCACAGACUGAUUCAAGACAAACUUCUGAAUGAUCGUCAAAUUCUGUAAGGAGCACCUUUUCCGUUUAUAUUCUCAUCAAACGAUGUCUUGUCAAAUCCUUUAGUUUGGCUAAUCUAAUGGAAAUAUUUCAAGUCAUCAUCGUUGAUCCUAAUUCGGCUUAUCGUUCAAUCUCAAAGGAAUCUAAAAGAACUUAGAUGAUCUCAGUUUAAAAUAUUUAGUAAAAGAGUAACCAGUCAGACACAGGCUUCCAUCACAAAGACUAUUACCUGCUUUGAAUCGAUUGUCUAAGAGUGCACGCACUAAAUCCGUGAACAUUAAUUAGUACUAAUUAGUACU